rnacentral:piRNA from 1 species
UCCAAGCUUCUGGUGAUCUCUCAAUGC